rnacentral:lncRNA from 1 species
ACAGUGGUGCCCAUUGCAGUGCUUGUAGCAGUGAGCGUGGCAUUGCCCUGCCCCUCACCCAGCAGGAGGUGUGACAGCGCCAAGGCCACGUUGAUGGGUGAGAAGAGCAGGUUGGAGCCAGGGUCGGUGGCCUCUGCCAUCCGCUGGUAGAAGCGCAGGGCAAAGGUGCUCAGCGCCUCAGCCACCGCAGCUGUCUGUGCCCCUGUGGGUGCCCCACAGGCCUCAGCCGGCUCCUCGUCCCCUGGGCACGGUGGGGCAGUCGUGCCUGGGGCGCUGGUGGGCCCCUCCGUGGUUGUGGGCACAGGUGCUGCUGUGGUCCUGCUGGCCAGGGUGACUGCAUCCUCGGGCGGCCCCUCCGGCUCCGUGGGGCUGGGGUGGGUGCUUGCUGGCCCCGUGGCCCCCUCUGUGCCCGGGCUGGGACUCUCCGUGACGUUGAGGGCUGCAGCCAAGCUGGGCACCGUUUCGGGGUGGGACUCUCCGUGACGUUGAGGGCUGCAGCCAAGCUGGGCACCGUUUCGGGGUGGGCUUCGGUCCCAGGUAGAGGUGGGCUUGUCGUCCCAGUGUCCUCCUCUGUGCCCGGGCGGUCGGCAGGGGGUGGCACCAGCUGCACCGGCUGCAGUUUGGUCAGCUUCAGCCCUUGGGGAGAGGCCUCCAGCACAGGGCCCUGGAGGGUGCUGGGUGCAGAGACCCUGGGUGAGGGUGGUCAGGGGUCCCUGGGUGCAGACACCCCAGGUGAGGGUAGGCAAGGGGGCCCAGGGUGCCCCUGUGUCCGCAGGGCAGCACUUACCGGGGUGACGGAUGCUGCGGCCACAGCGGCCAAGCACGCCAAGGGCAGCCAGAGCUUCAUGGUGGACGUCCUGGUGGGUAACACAGGUCAGGGUCCAGCUGGACACCCUGGGGGGCCCAGCACCACCCACGGGGACUCAGCAACCCCUGCUCCCCGUCCCCAGCAUCCCCCCUCCCCCUUCCCAGGGAGGUUGGGGCAGGGGCAGGAGGAGGAGGACCCCCCCCGGGCCCACCUAAGUGCCCGGCAGCAGGUCAGGUCCCUGUGUGUCCGCCCGGGAGCAGAGGGGAACUGGCCUGACGAACUGGCCAGACGCGGCCCAAUGUGGUUACAGAUUAAGGAGGGCGGGGG